rnacentral:rRNA from 1 species
UCUGCCCUUGGGUUCGGAAUAACGUCGGGAAACUGACGCUAAUACCGGAUGAUGACGUAAGUCCAAAGAUUUAUCGCCCAGGGAUGAGCCCGCGUAGGAUUAGCUAGUUGGUGGGGUAAAGGCCUACCAAGGCGACGAUCCUUAGCUGGUCUGAGAGGAUGAUCAGCCACACUGGGACUGAGACACGGCCCAGACUCCUACGGGAGGCAGCAGUAGGGAAUAUUGGACAAUGGGCGCAAGCCUGAUCCAGCAAUGCCGCGUGAGUGAUGAAGGCCUUAGGGUUGUAAAGCUCUUUUACCAGAGAUGAUAAUGACAGUAUCUGGGGAAUAAGCCCCGGCUAACUCCGUGCCAGCAGCCGCGGUAAUACGGAGGGGGCUAGCGUUGUUCGGAAUUACUGGGCGUAAAGCGCACGUAGGCGGCGAUUUAAGUCAGAGGUGAAAGCCCGGGGCUCAACCCCGGAACUGCCUUUGAGACUGGAUUGCUUGAAUCCGGGAGAGGUGAGUGGAAUUCCGAGUGUAGAG